CGUGCAGAGAGGAUGGUGUUCGAGGAGACUGGGGAGAAUUUUGCGAGAACUUUGUACAGGUUUUCCAUGACAGCGGAUUAAUAUGUCUUUUUUGCACUUUGUACUAGUAGUAAUACAUAUCUUUUCGCCUCCAGGGUCAUUCGGUAUUAAUCUGCGCGCAACUUUGAUUUUUCGUUCUGCAUGCUGGCCUGCUUACUUAAAUAAGUCAUACUAGGUAGUUACUACAUGGGAUUCCUAAAUACCAACCAUUUUAGGUCCUCGACUCCAAGACCGAAUGAUAACACCAGUCCUUUUACUCUAAUUACGAGUUUUAGAUAUAAUCCACGCGUUUUCUGUUAUUUGUGUGAGCCUAGUUUAAGAAAACUAAUUGGUCCAAUCUCUUAGAUUGAUAUAGUAGGUACCCUUUUAUCAGUUGAUUAAACUAAUGAGCCUUAUUGUCGAAAAACUUGUUAGCAAUCACAUUUAUUUAUGCGAUGGGGGUUCUUGUUUAAUAAUAGCUGGACAGUGUAACCCAUUUUGCUAGGCACCCAGAGAUGUUGUAUCUACAUGCUAUAUAACUACACGAUGUACUUGAAACAUCAGUUGAGUUCAUGGAAUUUAGGCUGAAUCCCACCUUGUAUUUUCCCGUGGUAAUAAACGUGUAACCUUUGAUUUUUUUUAUAAAAACUUGU